GACGAACGCUGGCGGCGUGCUUAACACAUACAAGUCGAGCGGUAAGGCCCUUUCGGGGGUACGACGAGCGGCGAACGGGUGAGUAACACGUGGGUGACCUGCCCUCAGCUCUGGGAUAAGCCUGGGAAACCGGGUCUAAUACUGGAUAUGACUCCAUGACGCAUGUUGUGGGGUGGAAAGCCUUGUGCGGCUGAGGAUGGGCCCGCGGCCUAUCAGCUUGUUGGUGGGGUGAUGGCCUACCAAGGCGACGACGGGUAGCCGGCCUGAGAGGGCGACCGGCCGACACUGGGACUGAGACACGGCCCAGACUCCUACGGGAGGCAGCAGUGGGGAAUCUUGCGCAAUGGGCGAAAGCCUGACGCAGCGACGCCGCGUGA
rnacentral:rRNA from 1 species